UACGUAGGUGGCGAGCGUUGUCCGGAUUUACUGGGCGUAAAGAGCGCGCAGGCGGUCGUACAAGUCGCGUGUGAAAGCCCCCGGCUCAACUGGGGAGGGUCACGCGAUACUGUUCGACUCGAAGGCAGGAGAGGGAAGUGGAAUUCCCGGUGGAGCGGUGAAAUGCGUAGAGAUCGGGAGGAAUACCAGUGGCGAAGGCGGCCUGCUGGGCCACGACCGACACUGAGGUGCGAAAGCGUGGGGAGCGAACCGG
rnacentral:rRNA from 1 species